rnacentral:misc_RNA from 1 species
UUUUUUUCUUUUUUUUUUUUAUAAGGAAUUGACCUAACCCUAUUGGAUAACAAGUAAAACUUUUCAUCCAUGUAAAUAUUGAUAGUUACAUUGAACGUUUGGCUAGAUAUGGCAAAUGGAUUUAGAUCACCUUAGGUUUAUUUUCAAGUGAGUUCAGGUUACAUUGAACGUUGGGCAUUCAUUGAUGGCAAUCAUAAUUUGCCCCCUUUCCCUUCUCAGUUCUCACACACAAGAAACGAAAGACUCUCGGUCUCGCCCUUAAUUUCUGCAUGUGUCAUUAUAUAUAGUGUUCAAACAUUUGAAUUUUCAUAAUAGCAAAGAAGGUUGGCAUAGUCGACUCUGAGCUAAAUACAAAAAUUUUCUUUUAAAGAUAUAUUACAAAAAUUUGAACUAAUUAAUUUCAUAUUUUGAAACACAAAAUUAUUUAAUUAUUAUUCUUUUAUUAUAUUUGAUUGCCUUUAAUAUUAAAUUAUGCUGCACAAUAAAUCUUCUAAUUUAACUAAUAUUUUCUUUUUUUCAGAUUGCAGAUUUUGGACUCGCUA